AUUAUAUAUAGAGAACUUAGUUUUCACUAAUCGAUCAUAAUCACACAUUUAUGCAUAUAUUCAUCGAUAAUGGGCAAGAUGAGCAUGUUCGUCUGCUUCUUCUUAUUUGUGUUAAUUGCCAUGCCAACCUCUUCUUCUAGCAGGAUGAUGCUCGAGGAGGUUCUGAAAGUAGGUAAUAAAUGCGCUCAGUGCUUCGCUCCAUGCCGAACAAUAGAUGUGCGUGAAUGCGCAUAUGGUGUGACCAUGGACCCCUGUUGCUGCGUAAUUUGCCGGGGAUAAAUCCUUUCGACUGCUGGUAGAUCUUCAUUGUACUUCCUUUUUUCUUAAUACAUCUUCUCUUCUUAUAAAAAAUAAAAUAAAUCCUUUCGACUGCUUGUACUGGGUUUCAUGUAUUUUAAUGUUACAUAUAUAGACCUUUGUAUCCGCUGUGUGUGCAUGCUAUUGUGUUUCUCCUCUUAAUUAAUUUGAUGUAGCUUACUAGAUAUACCGUAUAUUUAUGUAUCCGUGUUUCAAUUUA